AUGCUGAAAAACGACACUACAAUGGCACGAUGUGUCUUUUCAUGUUCUUCAAUCAUCAUAUCGAGAAAAUAAAAAUCCCCGAUUCAUCUAACCCUAAUUUUGGAGAUGAAGAACACUACCUUAGCGAGGGAGAGGACUGAAGAUUACUAGUACGCAAUUAGAGUCCUUGACAAGGUCUGAUAUGAUCUGUUGAUGAAGCUUCAGCGCUAUUGAAGAAGAAGAAUGGGGUAAAUUGGAGAUAACGAGUCUUGACAAUGAUAGAAAUAUUUCUACAGACCUCAAAACUUUGUGGUUUCUUAGAUACAGGCUGGGGUUUGUGAGAUUUUGAGUGUCGGACAGAUUGGUGAAGAAAGAGACAAGUCAGAAACACGGGAUAUAUUUACUGUGAAAGGAACUGGUAACAUGACAAGGACACUUUAUGUCCGGUUGAUGUUGGAGGGUAUUGGGCAGCUGAUGGAUCAUAUAAUGGUGGUGAGACAAGAUGCUGCAGAGUUGAUUUUGAAAACCAAAGUUUUAAGAUGCUCUUAGUAUGCUGAGCAAUUUACAAGGAUGUAUGCACAUCAUAAGGCAUGGAUGGACUAGGCUAGACAAUAGAUGCACUCUGCUAUAUCUUAUUUUGUUGCUAACUCUGUUUCUUAUUUGAUUUUUCAUUUUAACUUGGUUAAGGUUUUACUAGAGCCAUAUUAUUUAGAAAAUUUUAAGGUCUUCGUAAAACCAUCACUAUUAUGGAAUUUCAUGUAAACUGGUUUCAAGUCUUAGUAAAACAAUCUUUAUUUUGAUGUUAUCA